rnacentral:rRNA from 1 species
UACGGAGGGUGCAAGCGUUAUCCGGAUUCACUGGGUUUAAAGGGUGCGUAGGAGGGCAGGUAAGUCAGUGGUGAAAUCUCCAAGCUUAACUUGGAAACUGCCGUUGAUACUAUCUGUCUUGAAUAUUGUGGAGGUGAGCGGAAUAUGUCAUGUAGCGGUGAAAUGCUUAGAUAUGACACAGAACACCAAUUGCGAAGGCAGCUCGCUACACAUAUAUUGACUCUGAGGCACGAAAGCGUGGGGAUCAAACAGG